UACGUAGGGGGCAAGCGUUAUCCGGAUUUACUGGGUGUAAAGGGAGCGUAGACGGCAUGGCAAGUCAGGUGUGAAAGCCCGGGGCUCAACCCCGGGACUGCAUUUGAAACUGUCAGGCUGGAGUGCAGGAGAGGUAAGCGGAAUUCCUAGUGUAGCGGUGAAAUGCGUAGAUAUUAGGAGGAACACCAGUGGCGAAGGCGGCUUACUGGACUGUAACUGACGUUGAGGCUCGAAAGCGUGGGGAGCAAACAGG
rnacentral:rRNA from 1 species